rnacentral:rRNA from 1 species
GUGGGGAAUAUUGGACAAUGGGCGCAAGCCUGAUCCAGCCAUGCCGCGUGAGUGAUGAAGGCCCUAGGGUUGUAAAGCUCUUUCACCGGAGAAGAUAGUGACGGUAUCCGGAGAAGAAGCCCCGGCUAACUUCGUGCCAGCAGCCGCGGUAAUACGAAGGGGGCUAGCGUUGUUCGGAUUUACUGGGCGUAAAGCGCACGUAGGCGGAUUGGUCAGUUAGAGGUGAAAUCCCGAAGCUCAACUUCGGAACUGCCUUUAAUACUGCCAGUCUCGAGUCCGGAAGAGGUGAGUGGAACUCCUAGUGUAGAGGUGGAAUUCGUAGAUAUUAGGAAGAACACCAGUGGCGAAGGCGGCUCACUGGUCCGGUACUGACGCUGAGGUGCGAAAGCGUGGGGAGCAAACAGGAUUAGAAACCCUGGUAGUCC